rnacentral:rRNA from 1 species
UACGUAGGGUGCAAGCGUUGUCCGGAAUUAUUGGGCGUAAAGAGCUCGUAGGCGGUCUGUCGCGUCGGCUGUGAAAGCCCGGGGCUCAACCCCGGGACUGCAGUCGAUACGGGCAGACUAGAGUGCGGUAGGGGAGACUGGAAUUCCUGGUGUAGCGGUGAAAUGCGCAGAUAUCAGGAGGAACACCGGUGGCGAAGGCGGGUCGCUGGGCCGUAACUGACGCUGAGGAGCGAAAGCGUGGGGAGCGAACAGG